GACGAACGCUGGCGGCGUGCUUAACACAUGCAAGUCGAACGGAAAGACGCUGCGUUUGUUGGGUGCUCGAUUGGCGAAGGGGGGAGUAACACGUGAGUAUCCUGCCCUUGACUGUGUGAUAACUUCAGGAAACUGGGGCUAAUACCGGAUAGGAUCUCCUGCUGCGUGUGGGGGGAUGGAAAGUGUCGGCCGUUGGGGCUGGACUCGCGGCUUAUCAGCUGGUUUGUGGGGUAGUGGCUUACAAAGGCUUUGAAGGGUAGGCCGCGUGAGAGGGUAGACAGGCACAUUGCGACUGCGAUACGGCGCAGACGCCAACGGGAGGCAGCAGUGGGGAAUAUUGCACAACGGCCGGAAGCCUGAUGUAGCAACGCCGCGAGCGGGAUGCCCGCUUUCGGGUUGUAAACCGCUUUCGCAUGUGACGAAGAGUGAGUGACGGUAAUGGGUAAAGAAGCAACGGCUAACUACGUG
rnacentral:rRNA from 1 species